CCGAGUUUAGCAACUCCCAAACCCCUGUGAACAUACCACUUAUGUUGCCUCGGCGGAUCAGCCCGCGCCCGUAAAACGGGACGGCCCGCCAGAGGAACCCCUAAACUCUGUUUCUAGAUGUAACUUCUGAGUAAAAAACCAUAAUAAAUCA
rnacentral:misc_RNA from 1 species